CUCGGCGGUCAUAUCAUCUCCACGGUUUAGAUGACGUUUUCAAACAGAUGCAUCGACCGCAUGAUGUUAUCGUCCUGCGGGAUGAAAUAACAGCCGUCCUUGUUGAUGUCGUACAGGUUGAAGGCCCAGUUGAGCUUCUCCGUGAUGGUUCCCCUCAGGAGGAUCGAGAGGCCCAUGACGAAAUCCUGACGUUUGAAACAAGAUUCACAAUUUGGGUAACGGUUUCAAAAUGCUUUCGAAAAUAUGUAUUUUUUUUAAGCACAUUUUUUGUAAAACUGGAAAAGAAAGAAUUUCAAAGGAUUUUAUAUGCUAGAAAUAUUAUCACUAGAAUUCUAAAGGGUAGGAUUAAUUUCAAACAAUUAUUUAAAGGUGACGAGACAUUAAUUAAAAAAACUAUCUGAAAAUGUAAGUGAAACACGCUCAACCGAAAAACAACAAUCAUAUCAUAUUGUUAAUAUCGAUUGUUUUUAAUCAAAUCGCCACUAAUAAUAAAUAUAAUCCCAGUAAACCCAGGGGUUGGGGGGGGGGGGGGGGUGGCUUAGAAUGGGACCGAACUGACGCACAACACUACACAACAAUCAGAACUACACAUCAAUCAGAGAGACGAGGAACCACCGAGAGGCUUCUCUGUACUAAUAAGCAAGAUUAUACCUUCAUGAAUAUUAAUCGCAUGCUAAUAGCCAUCGCAAACUGGCUGGUUUUAAUUAAAAUGAGUCAUGUUGUGGGCUUAUCUAACGCCCUGGGGAGGUCUGCAACACUAUCCGCGGGUAUCCUCGAAGCAAACUUUUUUCUUUGGAUUAGUUUUUAUCCGUUACAUUGCAGCCUGGGGUCAUUUCAUUUCACAACUGUCAGAACCUGAGGCUCAGACCAACAAAUAAUGAAGCGCUUUCUGUUUCAGAGCAGCCAAGCAAGCAAACACAUUAGGGGCCGUCAAUCUGCUUCAAGCGUCCAUUUGAUGUGCAUGUGUUGUUCAUCAUGGUUUAAUCAUAUUGGAAACUCCCAUUUAUGCAUGUUAAAUACUAGGCACAGUUGAAUAAAGAUUGGCUUCAACAGAACUUG